GCCGGGCGCAGUGGUGCAUGCCUGUAAUCCCAGCGGCUUGAGAGGCUGAGGCAGGAGGAUCGCAGGUUCAUAGCCAGACUCAGCAAAAGCGAGGCACUAAGCAACUCAGUGAGACCCUGUCUCUA
rnacentral:sRNA from 1 species